rnacentral:rRNA from 1 species
UACGGGGGGGGCAAGCGUUGUUCGGAAUUACUGGGCGUAAAGGGCUCGUAGGUGGCCAACUAAGUCAGACGUGAAAUCCCUCGGCUUAACCGGGGAACUGCGUCUGAUACUGGAUGGCUUGAGUUCGGGGGAGGGAUGCGGAAUUCCAGGUGUAGCGGUGAAAUGCGUAGAUAUCUGGAGGAACACCGGUGGCGAAGGCGGCAUCCUGGACCGACACUGACACUGAGGAGCGAAAGCCAGGGGAGCAAACGGG